UACGUAGGUGGCAAGCGUUGUCCGGAUUUACUGGGCGUAAAGAGCGCGCAGGCGGUCAGAUAAGUCGAAUGUGAAAGCCCCCGGCUCAACUGGGGAGGGUCAUUCGAUACUGUUCGACUCGAAGGCAGGAGAGGGAAGCGGAAUUCCCGGUGUAGUGGUGAAAUGCGUAGAUAUCGGGAGGAACACCUGUGGCGAAGGCGGCCCCCUGGGCCGGCCCUGACACUGAGACGCGAAGGCGUGGGGAGCGAACGGG
rnacentral:rRNA from 1 species